UACGGAGGAUGCGAGCGUUAUCCGGAUUUAUUGGGUUUAAAGGGUGCGUAGGCGGAACAUUAAGUCAGCGGUCAAAUCGUGGGGCUCAACCCCAUCCAGCCGUUGAAACUGGGGAUCUAGAGUGUGCGAGAGGUAUGCGGAAUGCGUGGUGUAGCGGUGAAAUGCAUAGAUAUCACGCAGAACCCCGAUUGCGAAGGCAGCCUGCCGGCCCCACACUGACGCUGAGGCACGAAAGCGUGGGUAUCGAACAGG
rnacentral:rRNA from 1 species